AAGUCGUAACAAGGUUUCCGUAGGUGAACCUGCGGAAGGAUCAUUAACACUCAUUUAAUGAACUAUCAUUCACUUGAUCAGCUCAUCAAAUACAAUGUCAAGGUAACUGUUGUUUCCCUCAACCGAGCCCCUAGCGCGAGCGCGAGGGCAGUCAUGGUGGUGGUCUCUACUAAUUAUAUUAUUAGAGACUAUCGACUGCUACUCCGACAGACUAGACAAGGGAGAGGCCAACGAUGCGUUCCGUCACAUCCAUUGGCGGUUUGCUAUUUUCUAUUAUCAUUUCAUUUUACCCCUGUUAAUCUUGCACUGAUCGUUGAAUGAUGGUGUUGGGUUGCCCUUAACACGGCACUCGACAAUGUCAUAGAUGCUCUAACACGGCAUCGAAUCAACAAACGAAACACAACUCUUACCAGCGGAUAUCUCGGUUCCC
rnacentral:misc_RNA from 1 species